GGUAGUGACAGCUCAGUGGUUAAGCUGUUGGACUUCUGAUUGGAAGGUUGCGAGUUCGAAUCCCGGCACUGCCA